rnacentral:lncRNA from 1 species
UUUCUCGGAGAUAUUUCAAGCAGCGAGCAGGUAAGUUGCUGUCUGUGAUUUCCCGAGUAGAAGCAUGUUUCGGAUUCGUAAGAUUUUGCUGAAGCUUGAAGAACCAAAUUAAAGAUUUGUAUCAAUCAAUGUAUGAUAAUCAAAAGACAUGCUAAGGACCGUCUUGCAGAAUCCUUGCCCAAGUCUAUUUUCAGUACAAAACUAUUGUUUGGAAUGCCAGCACAAGGAAAUCAAUGUGAUCUUUUCUUAUACUGGUCACAAAUCAUCAAUAUAAUUUUGUUAUCUUAAAUAUUAGUCAGACUUUUUCUGAAGGCUGAUCUUUAAAAAUAGCUGUGAUUACUUUUAUUUCUGAAUGUAAUCAAGAAUUUUAUUUUGUUCAUGUUGGUGGGCCUUGAGUGCGUAUCCUUUAUUAUGGGGAGUUGUCCACUCAGAUUGCAAUCUGCGUGGACAAUUUCCCAUGAUGAAUGGUUUGUGCUCAGGGCUCAUAGAAAAGCCAAGCCUCAUAAAAAAUGAAGACAUUCAUUUUUUGUUAAGCUUGGUUUUUACUUAACUCAUAGUAAUUUAUUUGCAAAGAACUUGUUGGGUGGAAGAUUCACGAUUUAUAGAAUUUAAUGCCUGCCAGAAAUUCUCGAUGCAAUAUUUGUCAACUUUAUUUAUCAUCUAUGUAAGACUUUUUUUUGGGCAAAAUUUCUCUGAAGUUUGCUGUGAUUAUUAUACUGUAUUACUAAAAAAUAAGCUGCUCACUUGUUAUUAUUUCUUAAAAAUUUGUUAGAAUAUUAAAAAUGGAUACUGUGGUAAAUGAAAGGAAAGAGUUUAGACCGUAUAGAAUCAUUGUGCUAUUUAAACACUGAAACAACAUAGGAUUAAUAUAUAUUGCAUUAACUGUCUGUAAUUAUAAUAACUAUGUAAGUGAACUAUUUCAGUUUAGGCUAAGCCAGCAUCAACUAUAUUGGUCAUUAAUAUGCUUGAAAAUAAAUGGGUAGGAACUUGGACCAUGGCUAAUGAUAGAUAUUAUUUCCAUGAAAAGAGAUUUUUCUUUUAAUUAAAGAAAUAACAUUUACCAGUGUUCUUAUUUCAUAACAUUUUAUCGUAAUAUGUUGGCAGGAUCUUAUUUUCAUGUAAAUGCAGUAUUAUAAUCAAGAAACUUUGUGUAUCUUGAAUGUAUAUUCAUUAUUAUGGAGAGUUGUUCACCCAGACUAUUAUCUGCAUGGACAGUUUCCCCAUAAUGAAUGGUUUGUGUUCUCAAAAAAGAAGCUUGCCAUAAGUGAAAAAUACCUUUGUUGCACCUUUUUGUUUUUAUUAUUUAUUUAUUACUGUACCUGUUUUCGAACAUUUGAAAAUAACCUGUUAAGAUAGAAAUAUUUUCUUUGUACUGAUAUCUUUUUUCUUAAUUUUUUUAUUUAUCUAGAAUGCAAGUAAAGGGAAUUUUAUCUUCCAUUAACAUUAACUAUACAUCUGCUUUUAUUUCUUGCAAUUUUUUAUUAUAUGGUCUGUUUAAGGGUAUGGGUUUGUGUUUAAUAUAACUAUUCAUUUCUAAUGAGAAUAUUAUCAUCCUGAUAAUGAAUUACUGUUUCUUAUUCAGUAGCAAUUUAUUAAUCACUGUUUUCAAGUUUUAAAUUAUUUGUCAUCCUUGUGGUUUUUGUACUCUUUUUUAAAAUGCUGUUGUGACAUCUGAUAUUGAAGAAUUAUUUCUUAACACGGAAUUUUUCCUGAAUGGAAAUAAAUUUAACUGGUGUAAUCAAAAUUUUAUUGGGUGUUGAUAGUAUUUCUUGUGAGUUUGCAUCUUGUAACCAUUAUAGAUAUGAAACAAUUUUGUAUGAAAUAUUUGCUAUGUGACAAAAUGUUACUUGCAGUUUCUGAAAUUGAAAUUCUCCAUUCUUGACUAGCUGUAAAAAAAUGUGAUAUUUCUCCAAUAAAUAAUCUGAAAAUUCUAGUCUUUAUA